rnacentral:tRNA from 1 species
UCUUAGAUGACCGAGAAAUAAGUGCUAGACUUUUAAUCUAGAGACGGCAAAAUAUAUAUAUGCCUCUAAGAG